rnacentral:pre_miRNA from 1 species
GUAUGACUGUUGUGGAUGGUGUUCAGCACCAAGGACAGGUAUGUACAUGUAUGACUGUGUGGAUGGUGUUCAGCACCAAGGACAGGUAUGUACAUGU